UUAAUUGAAACCAAAAAGAGGUAUAUCACUGUUAAUGAUACCAAUGAGAAAUUCUCCAAUUAAA
rnacentral:tRNA from 1 species